rnacentral:rRNA from 1 species
ACUGCUCAGUAACACGUGGACAACCUGCCCUUUAGGUUGGGUAUAAACCCGGGAAACUGGGUAUAAUACCCGAUAGGUCUCGAUUGCUGGAAUGCAUCGAGAUUUAAAGCUCCGGCGCCUAAGGAUGGGUCUGCGGCCUAUCAGGUAGUAGUGGGUGUAGCGUACCUACUAGCCUACGACGGGUACGGGUUGUGAGAGCAAGAGCCCGGAGAUGGAUUCUGAGACACGAAUCCAGGCCCUACGGGGUGCAGCAGGCGCGAAAACUUUACAAUGCUGGCAACAGCGAUAAGGGAACCUCGAGUGCCAGGUUACAAAUCUGGCUGUCGAGAUGCCUAAAAAGCAUUUCAUAGCAAGGGCCGGGCAAGACCGGUGCCAGCCGCCGCGGUAACACCGGCGGCUCGAGUGGUAACCGUUAUUAUUGGGUCUAAAGGGUCUGUAGCCGGCCGGAUAAGUCUCUUGAGAAAUCUGGCAGCUUAACUGUCAGGCUUUCAGGAGAUACUGUCUGGCUCGAGGCCGGGAGAGGUGAGAGGUACUUCAGGGGUAGGGGUGAAAUCUUGUAAUCCUUGAAGGACCACCAGUGGCGAAGGCGUCUCACCAGAACGGACCUGACGGCAAGGGACGAAAGCUAGGGGCACGAACCGGAUUAGAUACCCGGGUAGUCCUAGCCGUAAACGAUACUCGCUAGGUGUCGGCCACGGUGCGACCGUUGUCGGUGCCGUAGGGAAGCCGUGAAGCGAGCCACCUGGGAAGUACGGCCGCAAGGCUGAAACUUAAAGGAAUUGGCGGGGGAGCACCACAACGGGUGGAGCUUGCGGUUUAAUUGGAUUCAACGCCGGG